ACGCUCGACACCUACGGGGGGCAGCAGUGGGGAAUAUUGCACAAUGGGGGAAACCCUGAUGCAGCAACGCCGCGUGAAGGAAGACGGUUUUCGGAUUGUAAACUUCUGUUCUUAGUGAAGAUAGUGACGGUAGCUAAGGAGCAAGCCACGGCUAACUACGUGCCAGCAGCCGGUAAUCUGAGCGGGCUGGCAAGGC
rnacentral:rRNA from 1 species